UACGUAGGGUGCGAGCGUUGCCCGGAUUUAUUGGGCGUAAAGGGCGCGUAGGCGGCCACGCACGUCCCGUUGUGAAAUCGCUCGGCUCAACUGGGCGGGGUCAGCGGAUACGGAGUGGCUGGAGGCAAGCUAGGGGCAAUGGAAUUCCCGGUGUAGUGGUGGAAUGCGUAGAUAUCGGGAGGAACACCAGUGGCGAAGGCGGUUGCCUGGAGCUUUGCUGACGCUGAUGCGCGAAAGCGUGGGGAGCGAUCCGG
rnacentral:rRNA from 1 species